rnacentral:rRNA from 11 species
CGAGUAGCACGGGGCUCGUGGAAUCUCGUGUGAAUCUGCCAGGACCACCUGGUAAGGCUAAAUACUUCCUGGUAACCGAUAGUGGAUAGUACCGUGAGGGAAUGGUGAAAAGUACCCCGGGAGGGGAGUGAAAUAGUACCUGAAACCAUGUGCUUACAAUCCGUCAGAGCACCGGAAUGUGUGUGAUGGCGUGCCUUUUGAAGAAUGAGCCUGCGAGUCAGCGGCAUGUCGCGAGGUUAACCCGUGUGGGGAAGCCGUAGGGAAACCGAAUCCUCAUGGGGUGUUUAGUGGCAUGUCCUGGACCCGAAGCGGGGUGAUCUACCCAUGGCCAGUGUGAAGCAGCUGUAAGAGGUUGUGGAGGCGCGAACCCACGUAGGUUAAAAACUGCGGGGAUGAGUUGUGGGUAGGGGUGAAAGGCCAAUCAAACUCCGUGAUAGCUGGUUCUCUCCGAAAUGCAUUUAGGUGCAGCGUUGCGUGU